rnacentral:rRNA from 1 species
AAAAUAGACUACCCGGGUAGUCCACGCCGUAAACGAUGAGUGCUAGGUGUUAGGGGGUCCAACCCCUUAGUGCUGAAAGUUAAACACAUUAAGCACUCCGCCUGGGGAGUACGACCGCAAGGUUGAAACUCAAAGGAAUUGACGGGGGCCCGCACAAGCAGUGGAGCAUGUGGUUUAAUUCGAAGCAACGCGAAGAACCUUACCAGGUCUUGACAUCCUCUGACAACCCUAGAGAUAGGGCGUUCCCCUUCGGGGGACAGAGUGACAGGUGGUGCAUGGUUGUCGUCAGCUCGUGUCGUGAGAUGUUGGGUUAAGUCCCGCAACGAGCGCAACCCUUGAUGUUAGUUGCCAGCAUUCAGUUGGGCACUCUAACGUGACUGCCGGGUGACAAACCGGAAGGAAGGUGGGGAGUGACGUCAAAUCAUCAUGCCCCUUAUGACCUGGGCUACACACGUGCUACAAUGGGCGGUACAAAGGGCAGCGAAACCGCGAGGUGGAGCCAAUCCCAUAAACGCCGCUCUCAGUUCGGAUUGCAGGCUGCAACUCG